GACGAACGCUGGCGGCGUGCCUAAUACAUGCAAGUCGAGCGAAUCUCAGGGAGCUUGCUCCCAAAGGUUAGCGGCGGACGGGUGAGUAACACGUGGGCAACCUGCCUAUAAGACUGGGAUAACUUCGGGAAACCGGAGCUAAUACCGGAUAAUACUUUUCUACUCAUGUAGGGAAGCUGAAAGACGGUUUCGGCUGUCACUUAUAGAUGGGCCCGCGGCGCAUUAGCUAGUUGGUGAGGUAACGGCUCACCAAGGCGACGAUGCGUAGCCGACCUGAGAGGGUGAUCGGCCACACUGGGACUGAGACACGGCCCAGACUCCUACGGGAGGCAGCAGUAGGGAAUCUUCCGCAAUGGACGAAAGUCUGACGGAGCAACGCCGCGUGAGUGGUGAAGGUUUUCGGAUCGUAAAACUCUGUUGUUAGGGAAGAACAAGUACCAGAGUAACUGCUGGUACCUUGACGGUACCUAACCAGAAAGCCACGGCUAACUACGUGCCAGCCGCCGCGGUAA
rnacentral:rRNA from 1 species